UACGUAGGGUCCGAGCGUUGUCCGGAAUUACUGGGCGUAAAGAGCUCGUAGGUGGUUUGUCGCGUUGUUCGUGAAAACUCACAGCUCAACUGUGGGCGUGCGGGCGAUACGGGCAGACUAGAGUACUGCAGGGGAGACUGGAAUUCCUGGUGUAGCGGUGAAAUGCGCAGAUAUCAGGAGGAACACCGGUGGCGAAGGCGGGUCUCUGGGCCGAUACUGACGCUGAGGAGCGAAAGCUAGGGGAGCAAACGGG
rnacentral:rRNA from 1 species